UACGGAGGGUGCAAGCGUUAUCCGGAUUUACUGGGCUUAAAGGGCGCGUAGGUGGGUCUGUAAGUCAGUGGUGAAAUCUUCGAGCUUAACUCGGAAACUGCCAUUGAUACUAUAGGUCUUGAAUUAUCUGGAGGUGAGCGGAAUAUGUCAUGUAGCGGUGAAAUGCUUAGAUAUGACAUAGAACACCAAUUGCGAAGGCAGCUCACUACGGAUUUAUUGACACUGAGGCACGAAAGCGUGGGGAUCAAACAGG
rnacentral:rRNA from 1 species